ACUCAAAGGAAUAGACGGGGGCCCGCACAAGCGGUGGAGCAUGUGGAUUAAUUCGAUGCAACGCGAAGAACCUUACCAAGGCUUGACAUGGAAGUGACAGGAGCAGAGAUGUUCCCUUCUUCGGACACUUCACACAGGUGGUGCAUGGUUGUCGUCAGCUCGUGUCGUGAGAUGUUGGGUUAAGUCCCGCAACGAGCGCAACCCCUACGUUCAGUAGCCAUCAAGUAGUGUUGGGCACUCUGGACGGACUGCCGUGGAUAACACGGAGGAAGGUGGGGAUGAGGUCAAAUCAUCAUGCCCUUUAUGCCUUGGGCUUCACACGUGCUACAAUGGCCGCCACAAAGUGACGCGAGACCGCGAGGUUAAGCCAACCACAAAAAAGCGGCCACAGUUCGGAUUGCAGGCUGCAACUCGCCUGCAUGAAGCUGGAAUCGCUAGUAAUCGCGGAUCAGAAUGCCGCGGUGAAUACGUUCCCGGGCCUUGUACACACCGCCCGU
rnacentral:rRNA from 1 species